rnacentral:misc_RNA from 1 species
CACUUUGGUCGUGCCAGGCGGCGACGAACGGGGCGUGUUGGCGGUUCGUCGUUGGAUGCGCUGUCUGAUCUCUCUUGCUUUGUUUUGUAUCGGCGCGUGCACGCGCUUCUCUGCCGCCCCCCCCUCUUCUCCUCGUCUCUCUGUGUGUGCUGUGCGCGCGUAUGUGUGUGCGCAUCACGUGUGCAGAGACCCACCCGUAUACCAGAUUCCUUGUGCUCUCCAGUGCCUCACCCUGUAAGAGCGAAUUAUGAACGAUGCGCACGUGCAGGGCGCCAUCGCACGGGUUCCGUGUGAAGGCACAAGAGAGAGAGCGCGCAAGAGGCGGUAGGCGGGAGGGAGGGGCGAGAUGCCCGUGCCUGUGACAGAGUGCGUGUGCUGGUGGGCUCCUCCUCCUCUUCUCAUUCGUUUCUGGGGGAGGGGUGCUCUCGGUGUUGCUGGCGUUGCCCUUGUUGCCCGCGUGCGUGUAUAUUGUUCAUCUCCGUGGCUGAAUUUGGCUCGACGUUCGAAACGAACACAACCACAAAGCGGUGAAGCUGGCCGGAGGUGGCCCUGGGUGGGUGCGCUCUCACCCACUCGCUCUCCGCUGGAGAGCGGAGGCUGGCCAGAUCAGUGAGAGAGACAGGUGCACGCAGUGGCUGCUACUGCCGAUGCCGCCGAGAGCGCACCGCCCCUCGUCCAGCUUUAUUCCCGAUUCGCUCCUCCUGCCGCAGCGGGCUUACGGCAACACACCAGCACGUGUGCACACGUUUAUGUGCGUGCGCGUCUGCCAUGGACGCGUCGCCACAACUGUUCCGCCCCUCCUCCCCC